GAAAUUCCAAUCGAACCUGGAGAUAGCUGGUUCUCUCCGAAAUAGCUUUAGGGCUAGCCUCAAGUGAUGAUUAUUGGAGGUAGAGCACUGUUUGGACGAGGGGCCCCUCUCGGGUUACCGAAUUCAGACAAACUCCGAAUGCCAAUUAAUUUAACUUGGGAGUCAGAACAUGGGUGAUAAGGUCCGUGUUCGAAAGGGAAACAGCCCAGACCACCAGCUAAGGUCCCAAAAUAUAUGUUAAGUGGAAAAGGAUGUGGCGUUGCCCAGACAACUAGGAUGUUGGCUUAGAAGCAGCCAUCAUUUAAAGAGUGCGUAAUAGCUCACUAGUCGAGUGACACUGCGCCGAAAAUGUACCGGGGCUAAACAUAUUACCGAAGCUGUGGAUUGUCCUUUGGACAAUGGUAGGAGAGCGUUCUAAGGGCGUUGAAGCAUGAUCGUAAGGACAUGUGGAGCGCUUAGAAGUGAGAAUGCCGGUGUGAGUAGCGAAAGACGGGUGAGAAUCCCGUCCACCGAUUGACUAAGGUUUCCAGAGGAAGGCUCGUCCGCUCUGGGUUAGUCGGGUCCUAAGCUGAGGCCGACAGGCGUAGGCGAUGGAUAACAGGUUGAUAUUCCUGUACCACCUAUAAUCGUUUUAAUCGAUGGGGGGACGCAGUAGGAUAGGCGAAGCGUGCGAUUGGAUUGCACGUCUAAGCAGUAAGGCUGAGUAUUAGGCAAAUCCGGUACUCAUUAAGGCUGAGCUGUGAUGGGGAGAAGACAUUGUGUCUUCGAGUCGUUGAUUUCACACUGCCGAGAAAAGCCUCUAGAUAGAAAAUAGGUGCCCGUACCGCAAACCGACACAGGUAGUCAAGAUGAGAAUUCUAAGGUGAGCGAGCGAACUCUCGUUAAGGAACUCGGCAAAAUGACCCCGUAACUUCGGGAGAAGGGGUGCUCUUUAGGGUUAACGCCCAGAAGAGCCGCAGUGAAUAGGCCCAAGCGACUGUUUAUCAAAAACACAGGUCUCUGCUAAACCGUAAGGUGAUGUAUAGGGGCUGACGCCUGCCCGGUGCUGGAAGGUUAAGAGGAGUGGUUAGCUUCUGCGAAGCUACGAAUCGAAGCCCCAGUAAACGGCGGCCGUAACUAUAACGGUCCUAAGGUAGCGAAAUUCCUUGUCGGGUAAGUUCCGACCCGCACGAAAGGCGUAACGAUUUGGGCACUGUCUCAACGAGAGACUCGGUGAAAUCAUAGUACCUGUGAAGAUGCAGGUUACCCGCGACAGGACGGAAAGACCCCGUGGAGCUUUACUGUAGCCUGAUAUUGAAAUUCGGCACAGCUUGUACAGGAUAGGUAGGAGCCUUUGAAACGUGAGCGCUAGCUUACGUGGAGGCGCUGGUGGGAUACUACCCUAGCUGUGUUGGCUUUCUAACCCGCACCACUUAUCGUGGUGGGAGACAGUGUCAGGCGGGCAGUUUGACUGGGGCGGUCGCCUCCUAAAAGGUAACGGAGGCGCUCAAAGGUUCCCUCAGAAUGGUUGGAAAUCAUUCAUAGAGUG
rnacentral:rRNA from 1 species